GGAGCUUAAUGCCUUAUUUUAAGUGAGGUUUUUUUGGUUGGGAUCCAAGUAUCAAUUUUUCAGGUUCAAUUUUAUAUCUAAAUCCAAGUGUUUCCUAUUUGCAACAAUUUUGCCUCUUAUUGUUUUAUUAUUUUUUCUUUUUUUGUUAGUUUUGGGAGAUUUCUUUUAUUAGAUGUAGGUAUAUGUUUUUUUUUUUUUGGUUUUCCAGUUCUAAUUUUGUUUCAAGAUUGUGGCUUGUUUGCUGAAUUUUUCCUUUGAUGCUAGGUAACUCGAUCGUGGGGAGAAUCCAGAAUUUGGAGCUUCAAUCAGUUGGGAGAGUUUGUUUGAGUUCAUCGAUUGAGGUCGCCUGGGUCUGUUUCCAGUAAACUUGACAUUUAGCUCGGUUGAUUGCGUCUACUUCUCUCCAGGAUUUUAAUGGACAAUGGAGAUAAAAGUUGGAUGAAUUGCCUAAGAUGGAUGGAGGAGUAUAGUCGUGGAGUGAACAAUUUUCUUGAUAAGGCAUUUGAACGAGCUUCUCAAGGAGAUAAAAUAUUAUUCCCUUGCAAAAAAUGUGUUAAUAGCUACUGGCAUUAUAGAAAUGUCGUGGAAUAACACUUGGUUGUUGAGGGGUUUGUUGAUAAUUACACCAAAUGGGUUUUCCAUGGAGAAGGGUCUUACUCGAGAAAUGCACCUGAUCCAAUCAAUGAUGAUGAAGAUUCUAACUUGCGUGACGACAUUGAUAGACUGAUUCAUGAUACAUUUAGAAAUGUGGAGGGUGAGUCGGCACAUGAAGAAGUAGGGAG